rnacentral:rRNA from 1 species
GGUUACCUUGUUACGACUUCACCCCAGCCAUGAAGCACACCGUGGUAAACGCCCUCCCUAAGGUUAGACUAUCUACUUCUGGUGCAAUCCACUUCCAUGGUGUGACGGGCGGUGUGUACAAGAACCGAAGAACGUAUUCACCGCGGCAUGCUGAUCCGCGAUUACUACCGAUUCCGACUUCAUGGAGUCGAGUUGCAGACUCCAAUCCGGACUACGAGAAACUUCCUAGGAUUAGCACCACCUCGCGGCUUAGCGUCCGUCUGUAUUCCCCAUUGUAGCACGUGUGUAGCCCUACUCGUAAGGGCCAUGAUGACUUGACGUCGUCCUCACCUUCCUCCGGUUUAUCACCGGCAGUCCCCUUAUAGUUCCCGACCGAAUCGCUGGCAAAUAAGGGUAA